CCUACGGGUGGCAGCAGUGGGGAAUAUUGCACAAUGGGCGAAAGCCUGAUGCAGCAACGCCGCGUGAGUGAUGAAGGCCUUCUGGUCGUAAAACUCUGUUCUCAGGGAAGAUAAUGACGGUACGUGAGGGGUAAGCACCGUCUAACUACGUGCAAGCAGCCGCGGUAAUACGUCGGGGGCUAGCGUUAUCCGGAUGUACUGGGCGUAAAGGGUGCGUAGGCGGUCUUUCAAGUCAGGGGUGAAAGGCUGGGGCUCAACCGUAGCAAGCCAUUGAAACUGGGAGACUUGAGUGCACGAGAGGAGAGUGGAAUGCCUAGUGUAGCGGUGAAAUGCGUAGAUAUCAGGAGGAACACCAGUUGCGAAGGCGGCUCUCUGGACUGUAACUGACGCUGAGGCUCGAAAGUGUGGGGAGCAAACAGGAUUAGAUACCCUUGUAGUC
rnacentral:rRNA from 1 species